rnacentral:misc_RNA from 1 species
AUUGAAGGCCAGUAGAUGGUUAGAGGCGGAUUUAGGAUCUGCAGUUGAUGGAUACAUAUCUCGAGAAUACUGAGUCCAGCUGAACCCAUAGCACAAAAGCUUCAUAAGCCAGCAAUUAUUGAUGUGAUGGCAACGCAUUUAUUCUUUGACAGUACUCUAGAGCUAGUUCUUAAAGGGAUGGGUAAAAGAUGUAUAAAAAUUGUACUAACUUCUUUUGUAUUGUAUUAUUUAUUUGUAUUUAUA